rnacentral:rRNA from 1 species
UACGAAGGGGGCUAGCGUUGCUCGGAAUCACUGGGCGUAAAGGGUGCGUAGGCGGGUUCUUAAGUCAGAGGUGAAAUCCUGGAGCUCAACUCCAGAACUGCCUUUGAUACUGAGAGUCUUGAGUAUGACAGAGGUGAGUGGAACUGCGAGUGUAGAGGUGAAAUUCGUAGAUAUUCGCAAGAACACCAGUGGCGAAGGCGGCUCACUGGGUCAUUACUGACGCUGAGGCACGAAAGCGUGGGGGAGCAAACAGG